GUGAGGAAUUUUGCGCAAUGGGGGCAACCCUGACGCAGCGACGCCGCGUGGAGGACGAAGUCUUUCGGGAUGUAAACUCCUGUCAGUGGGGACGAUAAUGACGGUACCCACAGAGGAAGCACCGGCUAACUCCGUGCCAGCAGCCGCGGUAAGACGUAGGGUGCAAGCGUUGUUCGGAAUUACUGGGCGUAAAGCGUAUGUAGGCGGCAAGUUAAGUUCAAUGUUAAAGCCCACGGCUCAACCGAGGAGAUGCAUUGAAUACUGGCUAGCUAGAGGGUGUUAGAGGAAGACGGAAUUCCCAGUGUAGCGGUGAAAUGCGUAGAUAUUGGGAGGAACAUCGGUAGCGAAAGCGGUCUUCUGGGACAUACCUGACGCUGAGGUACGAAAGCGUGGGGAGCAAACGGGAUUAGAAACCCUAGUAGUCC
rnacentral:rRNA from 1 species